GACGAACGCUGGCGGCGUGCUUAACACAUGCGAGUCGAACGGUGAAGAAGAGCUAGGCGAACUUCGGAUCAAAUUUCACUUCGGAUUAGUGGCAGACGGUUGCGUAACGCGUGAGCAACCUACCUCUUACAAAGGGAUAGCCUCCGGACACCGUGAUUAAUACCAUAUGACACAUUCAUAAGGCAUCUUAAGAGUGUUAAAGCUACGGCGGUAAGAGAUGGGCUGGCGUCCCAUUAGCUAGUUGGUGUGGGCACGGCCCACCAAGGGGACGAUGGGCAACCGGCAAGAGAGAGUGAGCCGUGACAUUGGAACUGGGACACGGUCCAAACUCCUACGGGAGGCAGCAGUGGGUAAUAUUGCACUAUGGAGGGAACUCUGAUGCAGCGACGCCGCGUGAGCGAUGAAGGAAGUCGUUUCGUAAAGCUCUGUUCUAUGGGAAGAAAAUGACUGUACCAUAGGAGAAAGCCCCGGCUAAAUACGUG
rnacentral:rRNA from 1 species